AAAAAAAAAAAAAGGAGAUGGGAAGGGAGGAGGAGAAAGGAAGAGAGGGACAGAGGGGUUUUCACCGUGAGAACAACCCUUUGAUUUGAGAGAAUUUUUAGUGAGAGAAACUGAGAAAGUCUAGAGAGAUGGGUUUAUGCAACGUUAUGCGAGUGGUUUAUUGCCAUAGAGUUUGUAGAUUCAUGAUAAAUGUAUCAAUAUAUUUUUCUUGCAUUUCUUUAUCGGACAGGAUUUUUUUCCACUUAGAAUGAUUGUUCUUCACCGUAAUUGCCACUUCACUGUCUCUGCUCAUCACAGAUUCCAUAGCAUUGCAUAAGCUCUCCUUAGAAAUCCAUCCAUUUUCUUCUCUCUUCACUUCUACUGCAACUUCCAUUUCUUCCACCAUUAUCAUGGUCGUCACUAUGUGGUCACCAUGAGCAGGUAUAAGAACUAUUUGGCAAUCACCCUGCAAGGACUCCCACAUCGAACUAAACCCACAGUGACUCACA
rnacentral:misc_RNA from 1 species